GAGCUUGCUUCUCCGGAUGAGUUGCGAACGGGUGAGUAACGCGUAGGUAACCUGCCUGGUAGCGGGGGAUAACUAUUGGAAACGAUAGCUAAUACCGCAUAAGAGUAGAUGUUGCAUGACAUUUGCUUAAAAGGUGCAAUUGCAUCACUACCAGAUGGACCUGCGUUGUAUUAGCUAGUUGGUGGGGUAACGGCUCACCAAGGCGACGAUACAUAGCCGACCUGAGAGGGUGAUCGGCCACACUGGGACUGAGACACGGCCCAGACUCCUACGGGAGGCAGCAGUAGGGAAUCUUCGGCAAUGGACGGAAGUCUGACCGAGCAACGCCGCGUGAGUGAAGAAGGUUUUCGGAUCGUAAAGCUCUGUUGUAGGAGAAGAACGAGUGUGAGAGUGGAAAGUUCACACUGUGACGGUAUCUUACCAGAAAGGGACGGCUAACUACGUGCCAGCAGCCGCGGUAAUACGUAGGUCCCGAGCGUUGUCCGGAUUUAUUGGGCGUAAAGCGAGCGCAGGCGGUUAGAUAAGUCUGAAGUUAAAGGCUGUGGCUUAACCAUAGUACGCUUUGGAAACUGUUUAACUUGAGUGCAAGAGGGGAGAGUGGAAUUCCAUGUGUAGCGGUGAAAUGCGUAGAUAUAUGGAGGAACACCGGCGGCGAAAG
rnacentral:rRNA from 1 species